rnacentral:rRNA from 1 species
ACGAACGCUGGCGGCGUGCCUAAUACAUGCAAGUAGAACGCUGAAGAGAGGAGCUUGCUCUUCUUGGAUGAGUUGCGAACGGGUGAGUAACGCGUAGGUAACCUGCCUUGUAGCGGGGGAUAACUAUUGGAAACGAUAGCUAAUACCGCAUAACAAUGGAUGACACAUGUCAUUUAUUUGAAAGGGGCAAUUGCUCCACUACAAGAUGGACCUGCGUUGUAUUAGCUAGUAGGUGAGGUAACGGCUCACCUAGGCGACGAUACAUAGCCGACCUGAGAGGGUGAUCGGCCACACUGGGACUGAGACACGGCCCAGACUCCUACGGGAGGCAGCAGUAGGGAAUCUUCGGCAAUGGGGGCAACCCUGACCGAGCAACGCCGCGUGAGUGAAGAAGGUUUUCGGAUCGUAAAGCUCUGUUGUAAGUCAAGAACGAGUGUGAGAGUGGAAAGUUCACACUGUGACGGUAGCUUACCAGAAAGGGACGGCUAACUACGUGCCAGCAGCCGCGGUAAUACGUAGGUCCCGAGCGUUGUCCGGAUUUAUUGGGCGUAAAGCUAGCUUAGGUGGGUCGAUAAGUCUGAAGUUAAACGCUCUGGCUCAAUCAUAGGGCGCUUUGGAAACUGUCAAACUUGAGUGCAGAAGGGGAGAGUGGAAUUCCAUGUGUAGCGGUGAAAUGCGUAGAUAUAUGGAGGAACACCGGUGGCGAAAGCGGCUCUCUGGUCUGUAACUGACGCUGAGGCUCGAAAGCGUGGGGAGCGAACAGGAUUAGAUACCCUGGGAGUCCACGCCGUAAACGAUGAGUGCUAGGUGUUGGAUCCUUGCCGGGAUUCAGUGCCGCAGCUAACGCAUUAAGCACUCCGCCUGGGGAGUACGACCGCAAGGUUGAAACUCAAAGGAAUUGACGGGGGCCCGCACAAGCGGUGGAGCAUGUGGUUUAAUUCGAAGCAACGCGAAGAACCUUACCAGGUCUUGACAUCCCGAUGCUAUUUCUAGAGAUAGAAAGUUACUUCGGUACAUCGGUGACAGGUGGUGCAUGGUUGUCGUCAGCUCGUGUCGUGAGAUGUUGGGUUAAGUCCCGCAACGAGCGCAACCCCUAUUGUUAGUUGCCAUCAUUCAGUUGGGCACUCUAGCGAGACUGCCGGUAAUAAACCGGAGGAAGGUGGGGAUGACGUCAAAUCAUCAUGCCCCUUAUGACCUGGGCUACACACGUGCUACAAUGGUUGGUACAACGAGUUGCGAGUCGGUGACGGCAAGCUAAUCUCUUAAAGCCAAUCUCAGUUCGGAUUGUAGGCUGCAACUCGCCUACAUGAAGUCGGAAUCGCUAGUAAUCGCGGAUCAGCACGCCGCGGUGAAUACGUUCCCGGGCCUUGUACACACCGCCCGUCACACCACGAGAAUUUGUAACACCCGAAGUCGGUGAGGUAACCUUUUGGAGCCAGCCGCCUAAGGUGGGAUAGAUGAUUGGGGUG